ACGAACGCUGGCGGCGUGCUUAACACAUGCAAGUCGAACGGGCCCGCCCCUGUUUUUGGGGGUGGGUUGAGUGGCGAACGGGUGAGUAUCACGUGAGUAACCUGCCCCCUGCUCCUGGAUAACUGCUUGAAAGGGCGGCUAAUACGGGGUGUGCCGGCUGGUCCGCAUGGGCCUGGUCGGGAUAGUUUCAUCUUCGGGUGUUUCGGUGGGGGAUGGGCUCGGGGCCUAUCAGCUUGUUGGUGGGGUGAUGGCCCACCAAGGCGGUGACGGGUAGCCGGCCUGAGAGGGUGGGCGGCCACACUGGGACUGAGACACGGCCCAGACGCCUGCGGGAGGCAGCAGUGGGGGGUAUUGCACAAUGGGCGGAAGCCUGAUGCAGCGACGUCGCGUGAGGGAUGGAGGCCUUCGGGUUGUGAACCUCUUUCUCCGGUGGUGAAGGCCCUGUCCGUUGCGGCGGGGUUGACGGUAGCCGGGUAUGAAGCGCCGGCUAACUACGUG
rnacentral:rRNA from 1 species